rnacentral:rRNA from 1 species
ACGCUAGCUAUAGGCUUAACACAUGCAAGUCGAGGGGAAACGGCAUUAUGUGCUUGCACAUUUUGGACGUCGACCGGCGCACGGGUGAGUAUCGCGUAUCCAACCUGCCCUUUACUUGGGGAUACCCCGUUGAAAGACGGCCUAAUACCCGAUGUAAUUCAUCGAUGGCAUCAGAUAUGAAUAAAAGAUUUAUCGGUAAAGGAUGGGGAUGCGUCUGAUUAGCUUGUUGGUGAGGUAACGGCUCACCAAGGCGACGAUCAGUAGGGGUUCUGAGAGGAAGGUCCCCCACAUUGGAACUGAGACACGGUCCAAACUCCUACGGGAGGCAGCAGUGAGGAAUAUUGGUCAAUGGGCGCAAGCCUGAACCAGCCAAGUAGCGUGCAGGAAGACGGCCCUAUGGGUUGUAAACUGCUUUUAUACGAGAAUAAUUUGAUGCACGUGUGCGUUAUUGCAUGUAUCGUAUGAAUAAGGACCGGCUAAUUCCGUGCCAGCAGCCGCGGUAAUACGGAAGGUCCAGGCGUUAUCCGGAUUUAUUGGGUUUAAAGGGAGUGUAGGCGGUUUGUUAAGCGUGUUGUGAAAUUUAGGUGCUCAACAUUUAACUUGCAGCGCGAACUGUCAGACUUGAGUACACGCAACGUAUGCGGAAUUCAUGGUGUAGCGGUGAAAUGCUUAGAUAUCAUGAAGAACUCCGAUUGCGAAGGCAGCAUACGGGAGUGUAACUGACGCUUAAGCUCGAAGGUGCGGGUAUCGAACAGGAUUAGAUACCCUGGUAGUCCGCACAGUAAACGAUGGAUGCCCGCUGUUAGCGCCUGGCGUUAGCGGCUAAGCGAAAGCAUUAAGCAUCCCACCUGGGGAGUACGCCGGCAACGGUGAAACUCAAAGGAAUUGACGGGGGCCCGCACAAGCGGA